UAUGCCACAGAUUAAACACUCAGUUAACACUUUCUGCAUAGAUAGGACUAACUAAAAUAUUGAUGUUUAUAUUUUCGAAUAACUUUGUAACGUUGGGACGUCUG